UUGAGAGAGAGGAAACUUCCCAGAAGAUUAUCAGAGUACUUCUACCUCAUUGGCCAUGCCCAUGACAACCCUAGGAUCAAGGGAGCCUGUGAUGGCUUUUGCAGAUAUUCCAGUAUUUGCUCUCCCGUAUUUUUCCACCCAUAUGUGGCGAUUCUCCUCGGAGAGCUAGAGCUGGAGAACAUUGAUCAUGCUGAGUUGAAAAGCAUUCACACUGGCUGCUUCCUUCUUGUUCUUGAAAGUGCUAUUUGUUUUACUCCACAAGCAAUGAAUUCCCUUGACUUGAU
rnacentral:lncRNA from 1 species